AACUUUUAACAAUGGAUCUCUUGGUUCUCGCAUCGAUGAAGAACGCAGCGAAACGCGAUAUGUUUUGUGAAUUGCAGAAGUGAAUCAUCAAUUUUUGAACGCACAUUGCGCCUGGUGGUAUUCCGCCAGGCAUGUCUGUUUGAGCGUUGUUUC
rnacentral:rRNA from 1 species